UCUUUGUGUCUUCAUUAACCAGAGGUGUGUUCUAGGCGUAACAUCCAAUCGACCAAUCAGAGGUCAUCUCCCAUUCACUUUAACAGCCAGGCACAUUUGGACCUUGGAGCAUUGCUGUUAUAAUGGAGGAUUUUCACCCUAAUAUUAUUAUUAGU